rnacentral:rRNA from 1 species
CCUACGGGAGGCAGCAGUGGGGGAUAUUGCACAAUGGGGGGAACCCUGAUGCAGCGACGCCGCGUGGGUGAAGAAGCGCCUCGGCGCGUAAAGCCCUGUCAGCAGGGAAGAAAAUGACGGUACCUGAAGAAGAAGCCCCGGCUAAAUACGUGCCAGCAGCCGCGGUAAUACGUAGGGGGCAAGCGUUAUCCGGAUUUACUGGGUGUAAAGGGGGCGCAGAGGGGGAUGCAAGCCAGGAGUGAAAGCCCGGGGGCCAACCCCGGGACUGCUGUUGAAACUGCGUGGCUGGAGUGCAGGAGGGGUAGGCGGAAUUCGUGGUGUAGCGGUGAAAUGCGUAGAUAUCAGGAGGAACACCGGUGGCGAAGGCGGCCUACUGGACUGCAACUGACGUUGAGGCCCGAAAGCGUGGGGAGCAAACAGGAUUAGAUACCCUGGUAGUC